GACGAACGCUGGCGGCGUGCUUAACACAUGCAAGUCGAACGGAAAGGCCCUGCUUUUGUGGGGUGCUCGAGUGGCGAACGGGUGAGUAACACGUGAGUAACCUGCCCUUGACUUUGGGAUAACUUCAGGAAACUGGGGCUAAUACCGGAUAGGAGCACAUGCUGCAUGGCGGGGGUUGGAAAGUUUCGGUGGUUGGGGUGGGACGCGCGGCUUAUCAGCUUGUUGGUGGGGUAGGGGCUUACCAAGGCUUUGACGGGUAGCCGGCCUGAGAGGGUGACCGGCCACAUUGGGACUGAGAUACGGCCCAGACUCCUACGGGAGGCAGCAGUGGGGAAUACUGCACAAUGGGCGGAAGCCUGAUGCAGCAACGCCGCGUGCGGGAUGACGGCCUUCGGGUUGUAAACCGCUUUCGCCUGUGACGAAGCGUGAGUGACGGUAAUGGGUAAAGAAGCACCGGCUAACUACGUG
rnacentral:rRNA from 1 species